UACGUAGGGGGCAAGCGUUGUCCGGAAUCAUUGGGCGUAAAGAGCGUGUAGGCGGCCUGGUAAGUCCGCUGUGAAAGUCCAGGGCUCAACCCUGGAAUGCCGGUGGAAACUGUCAGGCUCGAGUCCGGAAGAGGCGAGUGGAAUUCCUGGUGUAGCGGUGAAAUGCGCAGAUAUCAGGAGGAACACCGGUGGCGAAGGCGGAUCUCUGGGCCAUUACUGACGCUGAUGCGCGAAAGCCAGGGGAGCAAACGGG
rnacentral:rRNA from 1 species